AGCAUUCUGUGAUGAUGACGUGGAAUUUGUUGGUAACAGCAUCUGACUCUGAUGAGGAACCAUUCCAUGCUGCCUUCCUUCUGAGAUCCU